UACGUAGGGGGCUAGCGUUGUCCGGAAUCAUUGGGCGUAAAGCGCGUGUAGGCGGCCCGGUAAGUCCGCUGUGAAAGCCGGGGGCUCAACCGCGGAUGCCGGUGGAUACUGUCGGGCUGGAGUGCGGAAGAGGCGAGUGGAAUUCCUGGUGUAGCGGUGAAAUGCGCAGAUAUCAGGAAGAACACCAAUGGCGAAGGCAGCUCUCUGGGACGGUACUGACGCUGAGACGCGAAAGCGUGGGGAGCGAACAGG
rnacentral:rRNA from 1 species